ACGGAGGAUGCAAGCGUUAUCCGGAUUCAUUGGGUUUAAAGGGUGCGCAGGCGGAUUGGUAAGUCAGGGAUGAAAUCCCACAGCUCAACUGUGGAACUGCCCUUGAUACUGUCAGUCUAGAGUAUAGUUGAAGUUGGCCGAAUGUGUCAUGGAGAGGUGAGAUGUUUAUAUAUGACACAGAACUCCGAGCGUGAUGGCAGCUAGCUCAGCUAUACCUGCCGCUCAUGCUCGAAAGCGUGGAGAUCUUGCUC
rnacentral:rRNA from 1 species